GGGCCUGUAUUGUAACUGGAUAGCAAACUAGGCUUCGGACCUGGCAGUGGGGGUUCGAAUCCCUCCAGGCUCA
rnacentral:tRNA from 1 species